CCCAGAUAAUAGCUUAAUUGGUUACAGCGUGGUGUUGACAAUGCCACGGUUGCAGGUUUGAUCCCCGCAUGGGA